rnacentral:rRNA from 1 species
CCUACGGUGGGCAGCAGUGAGGAAUAUUGGUCAAUGGGCGGAAGCCUGAACCAGCCAAGUAGCGUGCAGGAUGACGGCCCUACGGGUUGUAAACUGCUUUUAUACGGGAAUAACGCGCCUUACGUGUAGGGCUUUGCAUGUACCGUAUGAAUAAGGACCGGCUCAUUCCGUGCCAGCAGCCGCGGUAAUACGGAAGGUCCGGGCGUUAUACGGAUUUAUUGGGUUUAAAGGGAGCGGAGGCCGCAGGUUAAGCUUGCUGUGAAAUGUCCGGGCGCAACCCGGGCCUUGCAGCGCGAACUGGCGUGCGUGAGUCCGCGGAAGGCAGGCGGAAUUCGUGGUGUAGCGGUGAAAUGCUUAGAUAUGACGAAGAACCCCGAUUGCGAAGGCAGCUUGCUGCAGCGGAACUGACGCUGAUGCUCGAAAGCGCGGGUAUCGAACAGGAGUAGAUACCCUGGUAGUC